UCUAGCCAAAAUAUGACCAAACCUCAAACUAAUUGCAACAGAAUGUUCUUCUAGUUUUCCAAGCUGGUUUAGGUGUACUGUUGAACAUAAAAAAAAUCGAGAAUGUUUGGAUGAAGGGAAAUUGUUAAUUUUGGGUGAAAACCUUGAUUUUUUGUGAAAAAUCGCUGAAAACUGGUAAUUUGCCGUGACUCAAAAACAAAAAUAGCAACUUGCAUAAUUUUUAAUGAAGUCAAUAGAUCUUAUUACAGUAAUGAUUUAUUUAAACGUUCAUGAACUGCAAAGAUCAGGAAAUUGAAAAUUUUGGGUGAAAACCUUG
rnacentral:lncRNA from 1 species